UGCUCAAAUAAGCAGGUGCAUGUAAGCGCA
rnacentral:piRNA from 1 species